GUACUUGCUUCGGCAACACAAGUACUAAAAUUGGAAUGAUGCAGAGAUUAGCGUGGCCCUUGCGCAAGGAUAACACACAAAUUCAUGAAGCGUUCCAUAUUUUU
rnacentral:snRNA from 1 species